rnacentral:pre_miRNA from 1 species
CCCUUUCUUCUUCUUCGUUGUCUACUGAGUGAACAGUAGACGUGAAUUAUAGUUAACGUCCUACUAUUCACACAUGGGCGUGAAUUAUAAUUCACGUUCACUGUUCAUGCAGUGAAUAUUGGG